UGGAUGAUGCAUUUAUGGGAGCUGUGUCCCCU
rnacentral:piRNA from 1 species